UACGGGGGGGGCAAGCGUUGUUCGGAAUCACUGGGCGUAAAGGGCUCGUAGGCGGCCAACUAAGUCCGACGUGAAAUCCCCAGGCUUAACCUGGGAACUGCGUCGGAUACUGGAUGGCUUGAAUCCGGGAGAGGGAUGCGGAAUUCCAGGUGUAGCGGUGAAAUGCGUAGAUAUCUGGAGGAACACCGGUGGCGAAGGCGGCAUCCUGGACCGGCAUUGACGCUGAUGAGCGAAAGCCAGGGGAGCAAGCGGG
rnacentral:rRNA from 1 species